UACGUAGGGGGCGAGCGUUGUCCGGAUUCAUUGGGCGUAAAGCGCGCGUAGGCGGCUUCGCAAGUCGGCCGUGAAAUCUCCCAGCUCAACUGGGAGGGGUCGGGCGAGACUGCGGGGCUCGAGGUGGGCAGAGGGCCGUGGAAUUCCGGGUGUAGUGGUGGAAUGCGUAGAGAUCCGGAGGAACACCAGUGGCGAAGGCGGCGGCCUGGGCCUGGCCUGACGCUGAGGCGCGAAAGCGUGGGGAGCGAACGGGAUUAGAUACCCCCGGUAGU
rnacentral:rRNA from 1 species